rnacentral:rRNA from 1 species
UACAGAGGUCCCGAGCGUUGUUCGGAUUCAUUGGGCGUAAAGGGUGCGUAGGCGGUCUUCUAAGUUUGAUGUGAAAUCCCGGGGCUUAACCCUGGAAUUGCAUUGAAUACUGGAGGACUUGAGUACCGGAGAGGAAACUGGAAUUUACGGUGUAGCAGUGAAAUGCGUAGAGAUCGUAAGGAAGACCAGUGGCGAAGGCGAGUUUCUGGACGGUAACUGACGCUGAGGCACGAAGGCCAGGGGAGCAAACAGG